rnacentral:rRNA from 1 species
CCUACGGGCGGCACCAGUAGGGAAUCUCCGGCAAUGGACGAAAGUCUGACCGAGCAACGCCGCGUGAGUGAAGAAGGUUUUCAGAUCGUAAAACUCUGUUGUUAGAGAAGAACAAGGACGUUAGUAACUGAACGUCCCCUGACGGUAUCUAACCAGAAAGCCACGGCUAACUACGUGCCAGCAGCCGCGGUAAUACGUAGGUGGCAAGCGUUGUCCGGAUUUAUUGGGCGUAAAGCGAACGCAGGCGGUUUCUUAAGUCUGAUGUGAAAGCCCCCGGCUCAACCGGGGAGGGUCAUUGGAAACUGGGAGACUUGAGUGCAGAAGAGGAGAGUGGAAUUCCAUGUGUAGCGGUGAAAUGCGUAGAUAUAUGGAGGAACACCAGUGGCGAAGGCGGCUCUCUGGUCUGUAACUGACGCUGAGGCUCGAAAGCGUGGGGAGCAAACAGGAUUAGAUACCCUUGUAGUC